rnacentral:pre_miRNA from 1 species
AACAUACUCCCUCCGUUCCGAAUUACUUGUCGCAGGUAUGGAUGUAUCUAGAUGUAUUUUAGUUCUAGAUACAUCCAUUUCUGCGACGAGUAAUUUGGAAUGGAGGGAGUACCUU